CCUCCGCUCCUCGCCCUUUUCUCUUUUGCUCCGGCCGCCUGCUGACGUUUUCGACUCCCUGUCGCCGUUUUGGAUCUGUUGCUGCCCUCUUCUCUCUUCCUCCGGCUAGGACCUGAUGCCGCCGGCUAGGAUCUGCUGCCGCCGUCCAUUCUUCCUCCGGUCCGACUCGUGAGCAUGCUCUUCUUACUUUUACCCAUGGUGUCAAGUAAAUGAUCUGUUGCUGUAAUAAGAUCACAUCAGUAUUGAGUGGGAGCUAUCGUAUGCAAGGACCAUCAGUAGUUGUAGAAGAUACUGAACAAGAUAUUUACAAUUGUUCUUUAUCUUUUUCAUCAACAUUAUUCUUUGACCAGGAAAUACUCACAAGUUAGGAAAUGGACACUUGGUUUAACUGGUGGCAAAGACUGAAUAGCAAUGAUUAUAGCCUCGGGGAGCAUUAGUCGUGUGCGGAGUCCAACA